AUUGAACGCUGGCGGCAUGCUUUACACAUGCAAGUCGAGCGGCAGCGCGGGGGGCAACCCUGGCGGCGAGCGGCGAACGGGUGAGGAAUACAUCGGAACGUACCCCGGAGUGGGGGGAUAACGCCGCGAAAGCGGCGCUAAUACCGCAUAUGCUCUGAGGAGGAAAGUGGGGGGACCGCAAGGCCUCACGCUCUGGGAGCGGCCGAUGUCCGAUUAGCUAGUUGGUGGGGUAAAGGCCCACCAAGGCGACGAUCGGUAGCUGGUCUGAGAGGAUGAUCAGCCACACUGGGACUGAGACACGGCCCAGACUCCUACGGGAGGCAGCAGUGGGGAAUUUUGGGACAAUGGGGGCAACCCUGAUCCAGCCAUGCCGCGUGCGGGAAGAAGGCCUUCGG
rnacentral:rRNA from 1 species